rnacentral:tRNA from 1 species
GGAGGUAUACCUCAAGUGGAAGAGCGCGUGCUUAGCAUGCACAGGGUCCUGGGUUCAAUCCCCAGUCCCUCUA